GAGGAAAUGCGCUUGUCACUUCCUGAGCGGCGCCGGCGGAGGCUGGGCCCGGCCCGGCCCGCACCUGAGGAGCGCGGAGGGGACCCACGCUGAGGAGCGGCCGUGUGAGGUGAGGAACGCACACAAGGGACUCGCCCAAGGCAAAGGAGAGAGUCAGAGCGUCCUGCUCAAAGGAUGAUGUUCCAGUCACCUGACUCUGCCUGGUAUUGUACUCACAGGGACACUGUGGCUCCACUGAAGGUCUCCAACAGCACAAAACACAGACCAGUUUCAGACACCACACUCCAGUUUCAGGGGAAAUCCUGAAACCCGCAGACUCUACAUAACAGGAAGCAGAAGUAUCUUCAACAAGUACUUCAUACCCAGGGAACAAGCACAUGUCUGAACUGUGAUCAGUGUGUUCUAGGUCAGGGAGUACCUGAACCAAGGAGACCCAAUUCCCUAAACAAGUGAAGUGUUGCUGUGCAGAGAGGGGUAUAUGAGGACUGUAGUUCUUACUACACUUGGCAUACGAUGGGAUUUGCACCAAACUUUAAAAUCCUUUCAUAAAAUCAUGAAAUCCUGGAAUGGUUUGUGUUGGAAGGGACCUUAAAGCUCACCUAGCUCCAACCCCUGCCAUGGGCAGGGACACCUUCCACUAGAGCAGCUUGCUCCAAGCCCCUGUGUCCAACCUGGCCUUGAACACUGCCAGGGAUGGGGCAGCCACAGCUUCUCUGGGCACCCUGUGCCAGCGCCUCAGCACCCUCACAAGGAAGAGCUUCUGCCUAAGAGCUCAUCUCAGUCUCCCCUCAGGCAGGUUAAAGCCAUUCCCCUUGGCCUGUCCCUACAGGCCCUUGUCCCAAGCCCCUCUCCAGGUUUCCUGCAGCCCCUUCAGGCACUGGAGCUGCUCUCAGGUCUCCCCUUCAGGAGCCUUCUCUUCUCCAGGCUGAACAAGGUUUUCACAGGUUAUUUGCUGCACACAGAACAGCUUUGUCUUUCAUCUCUCCACUUGCUGAUUGCCUCCCUCUGUGCCUUGGCAGAGGGCACAACUGCUGAGCUACAUCUGCCCUGGGAACAGUUGAUGGAUAAAACAACUAGACCUCUCACCUGAGUGAGCUCAUUACUCUGUCAGCCAUGAAUCAGCUUAAGAAAAGCCAAGAGUGAGUUGUCCAUCAUUCACAAAACCCAAGGCAGCUGUGGGCAUCCCCAAAAGCAGCACACAAUGCUUUGGGCAUGCAGCAACCAUGGAGUUGAGGUGCUCUUGGGUAGGGCAGCAGUCAGUGAUGAGAAGUACCACUGCAAAUUUGGGCAAAAUAGCCUAGAUCCUUCUUGAAACUCCUUGUUUGGGGCUGGAUGUGGGCUUAUCACACCAUGUGUGCAUGUCUCUGUGCCACUAAUAAGAGCUUUCAGUUCACAACCCUACCAACAUUACAAACUACUCAAUAAAUACACAUUCUUCUCACUUCUGACACACGACACUGUCCAUGAAUACCUGGCUGCUGGAGUGACUGUGCUGAGGUUCAUUUGUGCUCCCUCACUAGCAUUUAUUAGCUCUGGCUCUCCAGUAUGGGUUUAUGCACUUGAGAUUAUCCUGAAUUUAUAUGCUGCCUUGUGGCUACAUCAUUUGUUUGCCUGACAGCACUCACUUUAAUUUCCAGUAACCUAAAAUGGGCUCAUUUGAAGCUCUGUUGUUACCUAACAAAUGGAAAUUAAGCCACAGGUUGCUUUCUCCUUCUUUGUGUCAAAUAAAAUACACCAGUGUUCCUUUUCCUCCUUUGUCCUGAGGCUACACCACCUCAUCUUCACUGAAAGCCUUAGGUAGCCAUUAAUUGUUCUUCAGUUUAGCUGCUACCAACGAGGGGCAGGUUGUGCUCAAUGUAAUUCCAGCCAAGGCAUAAGACAGAGCUCUCCCCUUUUCUUAUCCCCCCCCCGCCCAAAAGCAGCAAGCAAUGGGAACCCAGUGGCAGAUCUCCUCAUGGCAAUGCAAAGCCCUGGCCCAUUUAUUCUCUAUGUGCUCCCCACAUAUUUCACAGGAGACGGUUGGAUAUGUAGCAGUGCUUAGAGGGGCUAUAAAAUAAAGCAGUUCUUGUUGUAACAAGUCGUGUUCUUUACCUUUUGGCAUGCCAAGAUUAGGAAAGCAAUGUGAGUGCCAAAACACUGAAAAAUGUGCUGUAUGUUGCUAAAUACUGUACUUAAAGAUUUUGUCUGGUAUGAAAUAACAUACAUUUUGGCAGUCUUUUACUAGGCACCCUGGAACACAGUAAAACGGACAUAGUGGAGUAUAUAUAUACAGAGAUUUGCCUUACAAUGGCUCCAGUGCUGCCAGUGCAUUCCUGGAACGUGGAAAUACAUGGAAGCCAGCGUCAGCAAUGAAGAAAAGCAUGCUGUGCCUAAUGUCCCAGAAAAGCUACUCAAGAACUCAUCCUCACAUUAAAAUAACCCUGAAGAAGCUGUGUCAGCUCAGCUUUGUAGCUUCACAGGUAUUUCAUCCUGGCAGUUCACUUCCUUGAUACACCCCAUAAAAUCCGGGGUAGAAUACUCCAAGCACUUUCAGUAGCAAUCUUUUCAGUACAGAGGGAGAGGCUACCACAACCCACCAAGCCAGCUCACAUCUACCAGUACCAAGUGGUUCAAGUAUCACUGGAGUUGCAUACACUACCACCAAACCUGACUGAAGUGAGAUUUAGCCUGCAACUGAUCUUGAGGUUUAAUUUCUUAAGGAGAAAGGGAGCAAUUUCAUUCCAGGGCUCUGGAUCCCUCUGGAGGACACUGGCUAACACCUGCCUUCCCUUUCCAGUCUAUCCAGGCAUCUCAUUGAGUUUGGCAUGUGGCUCAUGACACCAGAUGCAAAGCCCACUGGCACUGAGAGAAUCACAUCCUCCAGCAUGUUGUCCAUCAAGAAGGGAACACAAACCCUUUGUGCUCUGCCUAUAUUUGAGGCAAAACUAUACCCAGAUCCAUAAAGAUCUGCCAGCUCUGUAGCAUCAUCCCACCCUAAACCCAGUGCUGUGGGAAAAACCUGUGGGCUCAACACUGUUGAGAUCCAUGGAAGACAUUAGUUUUACUACCCACAAAUCUCAUAUUUGACAGUAAAAUCACAUAUACAGUUUUCAGGCAGCAAAACAAUAGGAGUAAACUGUAUUGCUAUUACUGCAUUUAUUGUGCUAAGACCAAGAGUCACACAACUGGGUAGUCAUGAAGAUCCCAGCCUUUGUGAACUACUAUGAAGCCUCUUUUUUAAGGUUUUUUUUUCACUGAACAGCAUUAACAUUUAUCAUAGAACCCUGGAAUGGUUUGGGUUGAAGGGACCUUAAAGCUCAUCCAGUUCCAAACCCCAGCCACAGGCAGGGACACCCUCCACAAGAGCAGGCUGCUCCAAGCCCCUGUGUCCAGCCUUGAACACUGCCAGGGAUGGGGCGGCCACAUCCAGCAUCCAUAUAGAGAUCAUACCUUCAUAAAGAGCCAUCUACCAUGACGAACCACCCCAAAUUAAGGACAUUCUUUAACAUGUCAUUUGCAAACCCUACUAGUCAGAAAAAAUGCCAUUGCUUAGGUCAGUAUUAGAGCUGUACCUUGACUCCCUUAUUCAUCAAAUGUCAGGUUUCCAACAGGGCAGAUUUUAAAUAGUAACUCUUUGGUUAUUAUUGCCUUAAAAUAAAUCUCCUGUAACAUGUUUUACAAGCAUUUCUCUACUCUCAAGUGAUACUUGAAAGUGCUUUGGCCUGUGAAAGAAUAUGCAAACUACAGACCAGAUGCAGAAAUCCUUGGUUUCAACCAAUAACUUGAGUGCUUAUUGGAGACUGACAAAUUUAGGAAUUAAAACCUUUCCACAUGGGAGAGCCACUCCAUUUUUCCACUCAUUUCCACUCCAUUUUAGUGGUGACAUUAGUGUGUGUAUCUCCACCUUAUCACUGGAUCCUGUAAUGCCAAACGUAAAGCAGAAGAACCACAUCUCUGAAGAAUUGCUGCCAAUAGAGCUAUAGGUAGCCCAGAUGUGGUGGGGAAAUGCUUCAAGUGGAAGCCCUCCAUAAGCCAUGACCAUGAGUUAGGCUGCAAAAGAAGGUUGCUCCUCCUUCCCCACACUAAGAAGCCUCCCUGAUAGAAACUGUAUUCAUAUAGGAGGAAAUAAUGGCAAAAAGAAACACGGUAGUUCUCCAGAACAUCUGAGGAACAGCCACAUGACGGCAAGAGAAAACAGUGAAUUACUCUCAUUGCUUCCAAAUGCCUUGUUAAAACCCAUGCUUGAUCAUACAACUUGCAUGGACAUGAUUUCUGAUGCUAAAAUGUCUGUGGAACCAUUAUAGGAAGCUUAUUUUUAGCCUUAAAAAUGAUAUAAAAACAUUAGCUAGGGAAGAAAAUGUAUUAAUCAUCUAUCCUAGAAAGAGGAGAAAACAAUACUUGCCCUGAACCUUACGUAUCUGGAGUGUGAAUCUGGAGUUGAAUUCCUCUUAAUUGAUUAAAGGAAAAGCUAUGA